CCUGAACGCUGGCGGCGUGGUUAAGACAUGCAAGUCGCACGGGAGCAGCAAUGCUCUAGUGGCGCAAGGGUGAGUAAUGUAUCGCUAACGUACCCCGGAAGCUGGGAUAGCUGCCCGAAAGGGCAGGUAAUACCAGAUGAUAUAUCCUGGCCGCGUGGUUGGGAUCUCAAAGGAGCAAUUCGAUCUGGGCGUGGGCGAUAUCGUAUCAGCUAGUUGGUGAGGUAACGGCUCACCAAGGCGACGACGCGUAGCCGGACUGAGAGGUCGGUCGGCCACAUCGGGACUGAGACACUGCCCGGACUCCUACGGGGGGCUGCAGUAACGAAUCUUCCCCAAUGGGCGCAAGCCUGAGGGAGCGACGCCGCGUGGAGGAUGAAGUCCUUCGGGAUGUAAACUCCUGUCAGGGGUUACCAAGUUCUGAGGAGCCCCAAAGGAAGAGGCGGCUAACUCUGUGC
rnacentral:rRNA from 1 species